CUACGCCUGUUACAGCGCUGCUCUGCCCGGAGCGUUCCAUACACACCAUCAAGGAGGAUUUUUGUGUCGUUAUCUGACGCUGAAAGACACUGACCAAGCGGCAGUAUUUAACGAGUUGGGAGUGAGAGCGGGUUGCCCAGGAUAACU